GUGGGGAAUUUUGGACAAUGGGCGCAAGCCUGAUCCAGCAAUGCCGCGUGCAGGACGAAGGCCUUCGGGUUGUAAACUGCUUUUGUACAGAACGAAAAGCCUUGGGUGAAUACCCUGAGGACAUGACGGUACUGUAAGAAUAAGCACCGGCUAACUACGUGCCAGCAGCCGCGGUAAUACGUAGGGUGCGAGCGUUAAUCGGAAUUACUGGGCGUAAAGCGUGCGCAGGCGGUUUUGUAAGACAGAGGUGAAAUCCCCGGGCUCAACCUGGGAACUGCCUUUGUGACUGCAAGGCUGGAGUGCGGCAGAGGGGGAUGGAAUUCCGCGUGUAGCAGUGAAAUGCGUAGAUAUGCGGAGGAACACCGAUGGCGAAGGCAAUCCUCUGGGCCUGCACUGACGCUCAUGCACGAAAGCGUGGGGAGCAAACAGGAUUAGAAACCCGGGUAGUCC
rnacentral:rRNA from 1 species